UACGAGUGGUGCAAGCGUUAUUCGGAAUCACUGGGCUUAAAGGGCGCGUAGGCGGGCUCCAAAGUCGGUGGUGAAAUCUUUCGGCUCAACCGGAAAACAGCCGCCGAUACUGGGAGUCUCGAGGGAGGUAGGGGUCGAUGGAACUUCAGGUGGAGCGGUGAAAUGCGUAGAUAUCUGAAGGAACGCCGGUGGCGAAAGCGAUCGACUGGACCUCUUCUGACGCUGAGGCGCGAAAGCCAGGGGAGCAAACGGG
rnacentral:rRNA from 1 species